rnacentral:rRNA from 1 species
AACGAACGCUGGCGGCAUGCCUAACACAUGCAAGUCGAACGAGAUCUUCGGGUCUAGUGGCGCACGGGUGCGUAACGCGUGGGAAUCUGCCCUUUGGUUCGGAAUAACAGUUGGAAACGACUGCCAAUACCGGAUGAUGACGAAAGUCCAAAGAUUUAUCGCCAGAGGAUGAGCCCGCGUAGGAUUAGCUAGUUAGUGUGGUAAAGGCGCACCAAGGCGACGAUCCUUAGCUGGUCUGAGAGGAUGAUCAGCCACACUGGGACUGAGACACGGCCCAGACUCCUACGGGAGGCAGCAGUGGGGAAUAUUGGACAAUGGGCGAAAGCCUGAUCCAGCAAUGCCGCGUGAGUGAUGAAGGCCUUAGGGUUGUAAAGCUCUUUUACCCGGGAUGAUAAUGACAGUACCGGGAGAAUAAGCUCCGGCUAACUCCGUGCCAGCAGCCGCCGUAA